rnacentral:rRNA from 1 species
UUGGAGGGCAAGUCUGGUGCCCCCAUCCGCGGUAAUUCCAGCUCCAAUAGCGUAUAUUAAAGUUGUUGCAGUUAAAAAGCUCGUAGUUGAACUUCAGGCCUGGUCGGGCGGUCUGCCUCACGGCAUGUACUGUCUGACUGGGUCUUACCUCUUGGUGAGCCGGCAUGCUCUUCACUGGGUGUGUCGGGGAACCAGGACUUUUACUUUGAGAAAAUUAGAGUGUUCAAAGCAGGCCUAUGCCCGAAUACAUUAGCAUGGAAUAAUAAAAUAGGACGUGCGGUUCUAUUUUGUUGGUUUCUAGAGUCGCCGUAAUGAUUAAUAGGGAUAGUUGGGGGCAUUAGUAUUCAGUUGCUAGAGGUGAAAUUCUUGGAUUUACUGAAGACUAACUUCUGCGAAAGCAUUUGCCAAGGAUGUUUUCAUUAAUCAAGAACGAAGGUUAGGGGAUCGAAAACGAUCAGAUACCGUUGUAGUCUUAACAGUAAACUAUGCCGACUAGGGAUCGGGCGAUCUCACUUUUAUGUGUCGUUCGGCGCCUUACGGGAAAC